AGCUGAAGACAGAGAUGAGAAAUUUUCUGUGUUCUUUUCAUUAUUUUGUACACCUAUUUAUACAUGAGAGAAGCAAAGCUUUUCCUAAAAAGAAUUCUACCAGCUGGAAUUCCAUCUACUAUACAUUCUAGAAGCUAAAUAAAAAAUGCUUCAGCUGAUCCUUUUUGCUUUGCUUUAGUUUCUUUUAGUUUCUUCAUCUGAGAGCUUCUCUUUUUCUGUGAGCAAACCAGAGGUAAUGUUGAUAGGAUUGACAUUUUGGGAUGAAAUUCCAACACCCCCCCUCAAGGUGGAGGGGAGUCCGACGACACCCAGCUUGCCCAUAGCAGAGUGAUGAGAAGGGCCGGAUAAGGGCUUAGUGAAAAUAUCUGCCAACUGGGAAGAAGAAGGAACAAAACACAGUGAAAUAAGACCGGACAGGUAUUGUUGGCGCACAAAGUGACAGUCCAACUCAACAUGCUUAGUCCGCUCAUGAAAAACAGGAUUUUUUGCGAUGUGAAGAGCUGAUUGGCUAUCUGAGUGCACCGGAACUGGAAGAGACGGUGGAGCGGAUAGAUCAUCAAGCAAACGAACAAGCCAGCUAAUCGGAGACCCACCAAGGGUAAUAUAGUAUCCACUAAUAGAACGACGAGUAUCCGGGCAAGACCCCCAAUCGGAGUCACAAUAAGCCAAUAGUUCAAGAGAAGGAUUGGUGGAAAAGAAUAGACCCUGUGCUGGAGCUAGUCUAAGAUACCUAAUAACUCGCAAAGCAGCCAAAAAAUGAGGCAAUCGUGGUUGCUGCAUAAAUUGACUAAGAUGCUGCACCGUGAACGAGAGAUCAGGACGAGUGUGAGUUAGGAAAUUCAAUUUUCCUAACAAUCGUCGAUAAACAGUUGGUUCGAGAAGCAAAUCACCCUCAUCUGAAUUCAGCUUGAUGGUAGGAUCCAAAGGGGAAUUUGCAGUAGCUGAAGUUUGUGAGUCAAAUUCACUCAAUAGUUCCAAAGUGGUAAAGUUUUGCUCCAUUUGGUUGUCCAAACCUAUCUUCUAGGUCUGUCCAGAGGUUCCUUGCAGUAAUGGAGUAUAUGACACUAGAAGAAAUCUCUUUUGAGAGAGAAUUAAGAAGCCAUGACAAAACCAUGUCAUUACACCUACUCCAAAAUUUGAAAUCUGGAGAAUCUGAAGCAGGUGCAACGCAAGUCCCGUCGAUGAAGGCUAUUUUAUUUUUGGCCGAAAGGGCAAUGAGGACUGACCUACGCCAACCUCCAUACCCUGUGCCAUCAAAACUGGUAUUGACCAAGUUCAUCCCAGGAUGAUCUGAGGAAUGCAGAAAAUAAAGGUGGCUGGGAUCUAUAGAAAAAGAUCCAGCACCUUUAACUGCAGAGGUUUCUUCCUCUAUAGCCAUGAAGAAAGCAGAAAGAGAAUGAAAAGCAGAUGAGCAAUUUUUAUCUAACCUGCUCUGAUACCAUGAAAAAGCUGAAGACAGAGAUGAGAAAUUUUCUGUGUUCUUUUCAUUAUUUUGUACACCUAUUUAUACAUGAGAGAAGCAAAGCUUUUCCUAAAAAGAAUUCUACCAGCUGGAAUUCCAUCUACUAUACAUUCUAGAAGCUAAAUAAAAAAUGCUUCAGCUGAUCCUUUUUGCUUUGCUUUAGUUUCUUUUAGUUUCUUCAUCUGAGAGCUUCUCUUUUUCUGUGAGCAAACCAGAGGUAAUGUUGAUAGGAUUGACAUUUUGGGAUGAAAUUCCAACACUGACUGUUAUGAUUUGCUAAUACUUUGAAGACUAUAUCUGUGUAGAUUGUGUUUUGCCUGCUUUCUUUUACUUUUUUUUGUUUAUUAAGUACUAUUCUUCAAAAUGAGUUUUUGAUGGAUUAGUUGGUACUUGGUAGGUUGUGUUCACAUUGUUAAUAUUUUAAGAAACACGUUCUUUUUGACUAUGCAUGUGGAUUGCUAUAGUUUAUAGGUAUAUAGAUUUAUUUGAUUCAUUCACUGGAGGAAACUUUUAUGCACAUGUCAUAACUAAGGGAUUAUUCAAUGUUGUCAGCAGUUUAUCUUUGAAAGUUCUGAAUAAAUGACGAAAUUAAGAUUAUUGAGAUAAAGAGUAUUAGGUUAUGUAUGGAAUCUAGCUAUUAGCAGUGAUAUUGAGUUACCGCUACUCGUCUUAUUAUGUGGUUUAUUUUUGGAGGGUAUGUCACGAAGUGUUCUUAUGCCUUACCUCGCAUAAAAAGGUCAGGCGGCUUAAUUAAGCGUCUGCAGUUAGUAUAUGGUGUUGAGAGAACAACUUAAGUAAAAUGUCGUGAAAUGGUAAAAGUCAAUGUGUUUCCUCUAUGGAAAAUUUGCAUUUUACUGUGGUUGCAAUUUAAUAUUAGCACAUAGCCACAGGGUCACAUGCAUAUAAUAAUGAGGUUUUACUGGUAGUGUUGUUGCUUACUCUUAUUUU